ACGAGUAUGGGUCCUCACGGGCCCGAACUCCCACCCCAUGUUGUCGCGAACUUACGUUGCCUCGGCGGGCCCGCCUCGCGGCCCCCCGGCCCCCGGGUCGGGGCAGCGCCCGCCGACGGUCUACACUCACAACUCUUUGUUUGACAGUGAAGUCCGAGCAAAAAUUCUUAAUGAAUCA
rnacentral:misc_RNA from 1 species